UACGUAGGGUGCGAGCGUUGUCCGGAAUUAUUGGGCGUAAAGGGCUCGUAGGCGGUCUGUCACGUCGAAAGUGAAAACUCAGGGCUCAACCCUGAGCCUGCUUCCGAUACGGGCAGACUAGAGGUAUGCAGGGGAGAAUGGAAUUCCUGGUGUAGCGGUGAAAUGCGCAGAUAUCAGGAGGAACACCAGUGGCGAAGGCGGUUCUCUGGGCCUUACCUGACGCUGAGGAGCGAAAGCGUGGGGAGCGAACAGG
rnacentral:rRNA from 1 species